rnacentral:ncRNA from 1 species
UCCAUGGUGACGUGGAAUCUGAAGGAAGCCCUAGACAAAUCUUAGUCUGAGGUACACAAAUCGCAUUUGAGGUCUCUAUUUCAAGACGAGUUUGCAGAACAAAACGAAGUCCAAAAUAUCCCCAGAUGGCAUAGAGAUAAAUGUGGCAGAUAUAUGAGGGGAAAGUGGAUGAA